GUCGAACGCUGGCGGCAUGUCUAAGGCAUGCAAGUCGAACGAACAAUUACGGUGCUUGCACUGUAUGCGUGAGUGGCAAACGGGAGAGUAACAUAUUGGAAAUCUACCUCGUACUCGUGAACAACCUGGGGAAACCCAGGCUAAUACACGAUAUUGAUGGGGGGACGCAAGUCAUUCCCAUUGAAAGAUUUUUCGGUGCGAGAGGAUCCUAUACACUAUCAGCUUGUUGGUGAGGUAAUGGCUCACCAAGGCUAUGACGGUUACCGGGCGUGAGAGCGUGACCCGGCUCACUGGGACUGAGACACUGCCCAGACUCCUACGGGGGGCUGCAGUCAAGAAUCUUCCACAAUGCACGAAAGUGUGAUGGAGCAAUGCCGCGUGCCGGAUGAAGGCCUUCGGGUCGUAAACGGCUGUUCUGAGGGACGAAUUUGUGACGGUACCUCAGCAGAAAGUGGGUGCUAACUCUG
rnacentral:rRNA from 1 species